UUUGCCUUCUGGUUCGAGCUCGUCGCACUAGGCUUGCCUAGUGCGGGUUAUCUCUCCUAUGAGGUUUGCGAGCUAUUGCAUAGGAGUGGAGAUUUUACCUUGCGGCUGUGGGUUUCCCUUGUCAUAAUUUUUUUUAAUAAAAAAUAGAGCAGCCCCAUAGUUUAGAAUCCUCUUAAAUUUUUGCAAGGACCCUCUCUAUUUUUGAGGGCAAUGCUAGAAAAAG
rnacentral:misc_RNA from 1 species